CUUUCCCCAAAUCCCGAGAAGUUGCAGGCGGUCCCGCUCCGGGCGCCGUUCUCACGCAUGAGUCCUUCUGAAGAAAAGUUACAGAAAUAGAGGCCGCAGAUUUAAAUCAACGACCUAGAUGAAUCUGUUAUGGAAAUCGUUGAACAAGGUUUGCGGUGAGCCGGAGCUUAACCCGGCAACACAGGGCGCAAAGCUGGAGGGGGGAAGAGACACACUCAGGACAGGAUACCAGUCCACCACAGGAAACCCCAAGCGGGACUCAAACCCCAGACCCGCUGGAAAGCAGGACCCUGUCAAACCUGCUGUGCUGCUGCGCCACCGCAUCCCCCUACAAUAAGAGAUACUGAAUGUCUUUAUAGAUCAUUACAAGAAACACCUGA
rnacentral:lncRNA from 1 species